rnacentral:tRNA from 1 species
UGUAGCUCAAUUGGUAGAGUGCUUGACUAGUAUUCUUGAAGCUCUGGGUUCAGUCCCCAGCA